rnacentral:rRNA from 1 species
AACGAACGCUGGCGGCAGGCUUAACACAUGCAAGUCGAGCGGCAUCUUCGGGUGCAGCGGCGGACGGGUGAGUAACGCGUGGGAACGUGCCUUUCGCUGCGGAAUAGCAUCGGGAAACUGGUGGUAAUACCGCAUACGCCUCCCAGGAGGGAAAGAUUUAUCGGCGAGAGAUCGGCCCGCGUUGGAUUAGGUAGUUGGUGGGGUAACGGCCUACCAAGCCGACGAUACAUAGCUGGGUUGAGAGGAUGACCAGCCACACUGGGACUGAGACACGGCACAGACUCCUACGGGAGGCAGCAGUGGGGAAUCUUAGACAAUGGGGGCAACCCUGAUCUAGCCAUGCCGCGUGAGUGACGAAGGCCUUAGGGUCGUAAAGCUCUUUCGCCGGGGAAGAUAAUGACGGUACCCGGUAAAGAAACCCCGGCUAACUCCGUGCCAGCAGCCGCCGCAGUAA